CAGUCAGCCGCGGUAAUACGGAGGGAGCUAGCGUUGUUCGGAAUUACUGGGCGUAAAGCGAGCGUAGGCGGUUACUCAAGUCAGAGGUGAAAGCCCGGGGCUCAACCCCGGAACUGCCUUUGAAACUAGGUGACUAGAAUCUUGGAGAGGUCAGUGGAAUUCCGAGUGUAGAGGUGAAAUUCGUAGAUAUUCGGAAGAACACCAGUGGCGAAGGCGACUGACUGGACAAGUAUUGACGCUGAGGUGCGAAAGCGUGGGGAGCAAACAGGAUUAGAUACCCCCGUAGUCCCUGUCUCUUAUA
rnacentral:rRNA from 1 species